GGGCCAAAGGGGGGUCUCGCGCACGCGCGCGCGCGGGAGAUCGAGGCUCCCGCGCUAGGUUAGUGCGAGACCCCGCCAGCUUGAGGCGGGGGCUGAGCGCGGGCCAAGUCCAAGUGCGCAAGCCCAGAUCUUGGCGCGCCCCUGAGGAGUUUCUGUGGGAAGAUUUUCUGUUUUCCAGGUUUCCCAAGGGAAACGAAGAAAGGGAGUGGGAGAAUCCAUGACUGGACCUCUAAUAGAUGUUGGACGACUUUAAAAAAAAAAAAAGUAUCGGCCUUACCCUCGAGGAUUUGACAAAUUAAGCUGGCCAGAGUGAUAAGAGAUACAGGCAGAAGAGGAGACAUAGAGGAGAAGGUGACGUGAAAAGGGAGGCAGAGAUCACAGUGAUGUGGCUAUAAGCCAAGUAAUACCAAAGCCAUCAGAAGCUGGAAGAGAAAACUUAAUAGUUAGAUUUCAAUUGCACAUGUUCUAUCCUAUAAGGAAUGUCUGACUCUUCAUAACGUACUCACAUUGGGAUUAAUCAAGGAAACAACUUGACUCACAGAGAAUGAAGAAAAGCAAAACAGGACAACAACCCACCUGGGAGCAACAGGGAGCCAGGGGAUCCUCCCCAACUGAGGGAAGUGAUUUUCUUCCACCUCUGCCAUCUCUGAGACAGCAAGACCAAGCCCUUCUCUUC